rnacentral:rRNA from 1 species
UACGUAGGGUGCGAGCGUUAAUCGGAAUUACUGGGCGUAAAGCGUGCGCAGGCGGUUUUGUAAGCCAGGUGUGAAAGCCCCGGGCUCAACCUGGGAAUUGCAUUUGAGACUGCGUAGCUAGGGUGCGGAAGAGGGAAGCGGAAUUUCCGGUGUAGCGGUGAAAUGCGUAGAUAUCGGAAGGAACACCAGUGGCGAAAGCGGCUUCCUGGUCCAGCACCGACGUUCAGGCACGAAAGCGUGGGGAGCAAACAGG